UGGGGAAUUUUGGACAAUGGGCGAAAGCCUGAUCCAGCAAUGCCGCGUGUGUGAAGAAGGCCUUCGGGUUGUAAAGCACUUUUGUCCGGAAGGAAAUCCUUGGCUCUAAUACAGUCGGGGGAUGACGGUACCGGAAGAAUAAGCACCGGCUAACUACGUGCCAGCAGCCGCGGUAAUACGUAGGGUGCAAGCGUUAAUCGGAAUUACUGGGCGUAAAGCGUGCGCAGGCGGUUUGCUAAGACCGAUGUGAAAUCCCCGGGCUCAACCUGGGAACUGCAUUGGUGACUGGCAGGCUAGAGUAUGGCAGAGGGGGGUAGAAUUCCACGUGUAGCAGUGAAAUGCGUAGAGAUGUGGAGGAAUACCGAUGGCGAAGGCAGCCCCCUGGGCCAAAUACUGACGCUCAUGCACGAAAGCGUGGGGAGCAAAACAGGAUUAGAUACCCUGGUAGUCCACGCCCUAAACGAUGUCAACUAGUUGUUGGGGAUUCAUUUCCUUAGUAACGUAGCUAACGCGUGAAGUUGACCGCCUGGGGAGUACGGUCGCAAGAUUAAAACUCAAAUGAAUUGACGGGGUCAUAGCUGUUUCCU
rnacentral:rRNA from 1 species